rnacentral:snoRNA from 1 species
UCUAGAUGAUGUUAAUAACUUGUUAUGAUUCUACUAUGAUUAUUCAAAGUUUAUUUUGUUUCAAGACGGGACUGAUAUGCCA